GCCGCUCCUCGGCUACCCCGCGCACCGGGAGGGGCCGGCAACGGGCCGGGGCUGGGAGCGGCGCCCGCCGAGCGAGCGCGGCCCGGGGGCCUCGUGUCACUCACCGUUUGAAAUGCUCGAUGAUCUUCUCUUCCCGCACGUUCUCCGCAGACCCAGGAGGCCUAUAGACAUGGUGACCAAUUUUCACCACCUUGGCUGAUAUUUUUCCAUUAAACUGAUUUUAGACAAGUUACUCCUAAAAUGCCCGGAUUCUGAGCAAGCUCCCAACUAAUGGCCUCUGUAAGACAGAAGAUGGCCUAAGUCUUUGGGCCCCUGCACACAUGUGGGAGACCCGAAGGGGGCUCCUGGCUCCUAGCUUUGGCCUGGCCUACCCAUGGCCAUUUGGGAAAUGAACCAGCAGAUAAAAGAUUUCUCUCUCUCUUUCUGUAACUGUGCCUUUCAAAUAUAAAUAAAUAAAUAACUUAAAAAGAGAAAAAGUUAUUUAAAAAUGACUUGGUAAUCAGCUUCCAGGUAACUUUAGUUAAGGGUUCUCUGAAAUGUUAACAAUUGACUGUAUCAAAUUAACAUGUAUGUUAACACAGCCUAUGCAAAUGAAAGGUUAUUAUUACUCUGUUAAUUCAGAGAUUUCAUAUCAAUCUUUUCAGAUCCUAUUGCUAAUCCCUAUUUUUAAAAAAAGUAACCUCUACAAAGCACAUUGAAUCUGUUAGAAACUAAUUCAUAAUUUAAAAUUUAAAAAAAAAUUUUAAUUUAACCUCUUCACCAAUUGUGAUAUAUAUUUGCAAAAAACACCCAGAUCUAGGAGACUGGGACUUAAAAUAUCAAGAAGCAGAAUGUAAAGAAUAAAGAUUAUGCUUCAUAAAAAUUAUGCUUCAUCCAUGAAGCUCUUGGCCUGGCCCAGCCCUGGCCAUUGUGGCCAUUUGGGGAGUGAACCAGCAGAUGGAAGAGCUCUUGCUCUGUCUCUCUCUCUCUGUUUCACUCUGCCCUUAAAAUAAAUAAUUCUUCAUUAAAAAUAUCAAAUUCAGGAGGGGGGUGGGCAUUUAGUGCAGCAGUUGAAAGCUGCCUGGGAUGCCCGCCCUGGAUCUGAGUGCCUGGGCUUCAGUCCUGGCUCCGCUCUCCUUGCCAGCUUCCUGCUAACUCGCACCAGGUAAUGGCUGGUGGUUCCCUCCACGCAGACGGGCUGCAGACUGGAGACUCCUGCGAGUGUUCUGCCUGCCUUCCCCCGGACAGAGGCCCAGCUGUGGUGGGCAUGUGGUGAAUGAACAGUGGGUGGAAGAUAUGUCUGUAUCUCUCUACUUUUCAAAUAAACUUAAAAAAAAUUUUUUAAGUUAAAUUCCAGUACUUUCACAGAGGAGAUAUAGACAGAAAUUUUUUCAUGCCAUAUAGUACAAAAGUCUUGGCAACCAUCCACCUAUAUUUGGAAAAUGUUUUGGCUGAAAUGAGAGACAACUUUCUUUGAAGAUGCUAGAAUAACUUAAAAUAGUUUUUUAGGGACUAAAACAGGCCCAGUAAUAGUAAUAAGACUGUACUGUUUAGUUUAUCUGGCAGGAGGUUGGGUGGGGUGAAGUAAUAACGUGAGAUUCUGGGGCGGGGGUGUAGCUGUGGAGCCAACUCCUGGGCGCCAGCAUCCACGUGGACACCUGUUCGAAUCCCGGCUGCUUCACUUCUAGCCAGCUCUCUGCUAUGGCCUGGAAAGGCAGUGGAAGAUGGCCCAAGUGCUUGGGCCCCUACACCUGUGUCAAGAACCCAGCCGAGGCUCCAGGCUCCUGGCUAUGGUCUGGCCCAGCUCUGGCUAUUGUAGCCAUUUGGGGGAAUGGAAGACCUCUCUCUCUCUGCCUCUACCUCUACCUCUGCCUCUCUAACUCUGCCUUUCAAAUAAAUAAAUAAAUCUUAAAAAAAAUAAAAACAAUAAAGUGAGCUUGUGUUCCCCCACUCCGCAUGUUAUAAAUGCACAAAUACACACCUUUUUAUAUAAAAAAUUAUCCAAAAAAGUGG